CCAGCUCUACUUAUGUGCUGCAGAGAGGAGGACAGAGAGUGGACACACAGUUAAACAUGAUGGACUGCAGGACAGGACUGCUGCUUUUAACUGUCUGCUGGGCAGCUGUUGAUGGUCAGACUCUGACAGAAUCUGAACCAGUGAUUAAAAGACCUGGAGAAUCUCACCGAUUGACCUGUACAGCUUCUGGAUUAGACUUUGAUAACUAUUGGAUGGCCUGGAUCAGACAGGCUCCUGGAAAAGGGCUGGAGUGGAUGGCGAUUAUCCAACACAACAGUAACAACAUCUACUACUCUCAGUCAGUUCAAGGCCGGUUCACCAUCUCCAGAGACAACAGCAGAAAGCAAGUGUAUCUGCAGAUGAACAGUCUGAAGACGGAAGAUGCUGCUGUUUAUUAUUGUGCUCGAUAGCCACAGUGACUGGAGCUGGUGGAGC